rnacentral:rRNA from 1 species
GAUGAACGCUGGCGGCGUGCUUAACACAUGCAAGUCGAACGAAGCAUUUGCGACAGAUUUUUUCGGAAUGAAGUUGCUUAUGACUGAGUGGCGGACGGGUGAGUAACGCGUGGGUAACCUGCCUUGUACUGGGGGAUAGCAGCUGGAAACGGCUGGUAAUACCGCAUAAGCGCACAAUGUUGCAUGACAUGGUGUGAAAAACUCCGGUGGUAUAAGAUGGACCCGCGUCUGAUUAGCUAGUUGGUGAGAUAACAGCCCACCAAGGCGACGAUCAGUAGCCGACCUGAGAGGGUGACCGGCCACAUUGGGACUGAGACACGGCCCAGACUCCUACGGGAGGCAGCAGUGGGGAAUAUUGCACAAUGGAGGAAACUCUGAUGCAGCGACGCCGCGUGAGUGAGGAAGUAAUUCGUUAUGUAAAGCUCUAUCAGCAGGGAAGAUAGUGACGGUACCUGACUAAGAAGCUCCGGCUAAAUACGUG